GACAGAGGUGCCGAGCGUUAGGCGGAAUCACUGGGCUUAAAGCGUGUGUAGGCGGAUCGUUAAGUGCCUUGUGAAAUCCCACGGCUCAACCGUGGAACUGCUUGGCAUACUGGCGGUCUUGAGCCACUUAGGGGCUACCGGAACAAAUGGUGGAGCGGUGAAAUGCGUAGAUAUCAUUUGGAACGCCAAUGGUGAAAACAGGUAGCUGGGAGUGUGCUGACGCUGAGACACGAAAGUGUGGGGAUCAAACAGG
rnacentral:rRNA from 1 species